UGGGGAAUUUUGCACAAUGGGGGAAACCCUGAUGCAGCGACGCCGCGUGAUUUAGAAGGCCUUCGGGUUGUAAAAAUCUUUUUUAUGGGAUGAAAAUGACAGUACCAUAAGAAUAAGGUCCGGCUAAAUACGUGCCAGCAGCCGCGGUAAUACGUAUGGACCGAGCGUUGUCCGGAAUCAUUGGGCGUAAAGGGUACGUAGGCGGCCCAGUAAGUUAGAAGUGAAAUAAUAUAGCUCAACUAUAUAAAGCUUUUAAGACUGCUAGGCUUGAGAGAUGGAAGGGAAAGUGGAAUUCCUAGUGUAGCGGUGAAAUGCGCAGAUAUUAGGAAGAAUACCGGUGGCGAAGGCGACUUUCUGGUCAUCAUCUGACGCUGAGGUACGAAAGCGUGGGUAGCAAACAGG
rnacentral:rRNA from 1 species